UGGGAGAAGUAUAGAAAACUCUUUAUAAUGGUAAUUUAGUUAGUUUUGUCUUCUCGGUAUGCAGAUGUGCUGUAUCAGACAAAAUUUGGUGGAGGCAGAAGGAAGGCCCUGUGAUCUGCUCAUUUGCUGGUUGAACAUAAAUUAUACAUUACUAAAGUCUAGUAGAAUAAAGUAUUUUUGAAGUAAACAGUACAAAUAUGAAUUUCUAAUUACUUUGAUAAUGUAACUUGAUGUACAGAAAUUGUAGUUAAGUAUCUGAUUUCCCAUUUAGAUUCAUUCAAUUACAUGUGCAUUUCAACUUGUUCCUUGAUGAACCCAUUCCAAUCAUUUUGAAGUCGGCAACCAAAGAAUAUUUUAGAAUGUAUUUCUUUUAAGUCUCAUGCAUAUUAUCUUGCUAUUCUUAUAUCAUUGUCUUGUAUCAGAUCAGAUAGUUUUCUGGGAGGGAAGCAAGUGAAAAAACAUGAAAGUAGUUCCUGUAUUGAAAAACAGCAUCCAGUCAGUGUUCUGCAGUAAACUCUCCAGCUCUAGGUAGAACCCAAUACAUACCACCCUUAUAACAACAGAGGCUGCAUGUCUUCAGGAUUUAUUUCAGGUGAUAACUAAAAUAAAAAAGAAAGUGAAGCAGUAAUCUAUCAGCAAAGGUUCAUCUCUGAAAGCACUGCAGUAUAGACAUCUACUGUCUUUACUAUUUUACUAAUCCAUCGAUAAAUGUAGAGAUUAAGUAUGUGUAUGUUACAUAAAAAAUUGGGAAACCAGAUUUUAAUAAGUAAAAAAGGUGAUAACCCAGUCAAUUGUGCAGCUUUUAUCUAAUUAUUAGGGGUUUUUUAAGUUUUGUGAAGUUGCUCUGAAUUUGAAUAGGAACUAAAAUAGACUUCACUCAGAUUCUUCAGCUGGCUUAAAAGUCAACUGAUAAAAUUAUUCAGGGAUGGUUAGUCCAUUUUAAAUUCAUAUUUCGCAUGAAAACUUUGUGCAAAGACAAGCCAUUUGAAAACAUAAACAAUUAUAUGGGCAAUGUUGAUGUUGUGCUCUACUUUGAAAUACAAAGUUUUACUGACCAAAUAAUUAGUGGUAUUAUAUUUCACCUAGUGUGAUUUCCUUAGUUUCAUUUGGAUGCAAGAUGUUCUUUGUUUUUUGUCUUAACUUGUCACCUAACAUUCGUAAGUCUUGUUAAUCAGAAUCAUGAAACUGUUUAAGUUGGAAGGAAUCUCUUCGGAGCAUCUGUUCCACCCGCUCCUAGAGUGGGUUGCUCAGGAUGGUGUCCAGUCAGGUUUGAGUAUUCCCGUGGCUGGAGAUUGCAUUCCCCCAGGGCAACCUGUGCCAGUGUGGGAAGAUUCUCAUGGUGAAAGUCAGCCUCUGUUGAGAUUUUGCUUGUCUUCUGUUCUAUUCUGUUGGGUAUUAUCUCUUUUGGAGACCACCUUAGCAGGCAUUCUGGGUAGAAAUGUUAUGUAAACGUCUUAGAAAAAGACAUUAAUAAGAGGGUGUUAUCUUUUAAUCCAGCAACUGGGUGAAAUUGCCCAAGUUUGUUCUUUUUCUUCUGAGUACCACAUUUGCAAAUACAGAAACUGCAUUUCUGAAACAGGCUUCCUAACUGAAAUAGUUAAGCUGAAAAAGUUUAAUAGUGUACAAACUAAAGGAUUAGCUUUAAGUAUUUUUUCCGUAUUAUCCUUUUCAUGUGGGUAAUAUUUUUUCCAAAGGAAAAAACCCAUUUAUUGGCGAUGGAGGCUGAAAGUUUUAAUUUGUUGUAGGGAUCACUAAACAAAGUUAUAGAAAUAGAGAUGUAUACAUCCAACAGGCAUAUAUAUAACUGGCAUCCUAAUAAAAUAUGGCAAGUUUCUUUUUGACUUAGCCACACCUCAUUGGAUUAUUACUUUCACUGUCAUAUAAACUGCACUUCUGAAACAAAGUCUCUUCACUGGGAACUGGAGGCAGUUGAUCAUGUGGAGCCCACUGACUAAAUAUAUGGCAGUCUUCUCUGGCUAAUGAAGCUCCUGAGUUUUAGUGGAAGUAUUGUUCAUGCUAGCUUUGCUCUUGCCACAGGUAUUCCAGGCAUCUGCUUUUGGUCAUUGUCUUUUUUCUGCAGCAGGAUCCUGGAGUAUCUGACCUUUGUUCUCAUCUGGGGGAGUGGCCUUUAUGUUCAAAACGAGGUUCUUUUUCUUCUUAAGGUAACACUUCCCACCAAUUAAGGGUUCCUAAAAAGCCAAAAAAGAUAUUUUGAGUAUUUCCUUCCCCACCUCCCUACCCCCCAUUUCUAAAGCUAAGGUUCUUCUGGUGAGUUUUAAUAUUGGCAUCUUAGGUUUGCAGUAUUAGGUGUUUUCUUCAAUAGUCCUAAAGACAUUGUGGGAGCUUGAAUCAUAGUAAGCGAGAUCUUGGAGGAGGGCCUGUUGAAAGCAUGACAGUUUUUUUGCAGCCACUCUGUGAAACUGUUGCUUUCUUGUAAUUCUGUGAUGGAAUUCGCAAAAAUGAGAAAGUCGAAUUAAGAAAAUAGUCCAAAGUCCCCAAAUGGUCUGCUGAGAAGACUUGUAUAAAGCUGAGAAAGUAAAAAAUAAACCCAAGUUAUGUUUGCCUCUGUAUUAUGCUAUUUUGGGAAAAUUAUUGUUGCGUCUGUAGUAGAGCAUUGUACAAUUAUUUUGAUAGCCACUUAAAAAAUAACUUUUAAUUUCAGUGUUCCUCUUCUGAUGAUUUUUCUUGAGAAUUACUGAAAUAAUUGAGUAAUUUUUCUGAAAACACCUGCAAAGUAAACUUGUGGGGUUGUUUUUUUGUUUUUUGUUUUGGGUUUUUUUUUUUUGUUUCCUUUGGGACCUUGUUGUUCCAUUUGUGUGACUGGCUUGACACUGUUGGAGAGCAGUGGAAAGGCAAAGGUCAAACAAAGUUAUGACACAGCUGCACUCUGUUACUUGCUUUAACUGCUGCAUUCUAUUUUAGGGUUUUAUGCUGUUGCCUACCACCUUAAUAUCUCAAGACCUUUCCAUGGAAAAUCUUCAACACCUAUGUUCGUAUUGCUCCCAGGAGUUUUUGGCUUUGCUUGGUGUUUAAAAGAUCUGGCAUGUGUUUUACCUUUGUCUUGUUUUCUUCUGUGAUUCUACACUUUGGGGGAGGGGGAGGGCAGAUGGAGGUGGUGUUUUUGCAAGCGUAGUUGCUCCUGACAAAGGAAAUCAGAAUAGUUUGUGUCUACUUUUUUUUUUUGUAAGGAGAACGAUUUACUAUAUCUCUGGAAGUUCAUUCUGUGAGUAGAAUUUCUGGGCCAAGAGUGUUUUUCUUUAGGUUUCGUGCACUUUUUCUUUAAUCUUGUGCAUUUUUUAAAAUCACCUGGUGACUCUGUAUUUUAAGAAUUGAUUUAUAGCAUAUUCUGUGGUUGGUUUCUUGCAGUCCCUUUUUUGGUGGAAGAUUUUCAUUUGGUACAAAA
rnacentral:lncRNA from 1 species